rnacentral:rRNA from 1 species
AUUGAACGCUGGCGGCAGGCUUAACACAUGCAAGUCGAGCGGAGAUGAGGUGCUUGCACCUUAUCUUAGCGGCGGACGGGUGAGUAAUGCUUAGGAAUCUGCCUAUUAGUGGGGGACAACAUUCCGAAAGGAAUGCUAAUACCGCAUACGUCCUACGGGAGAAAGCAGGGGAUCUUCGGACCUUGCGCUAAUAGAUGAGCCUAAGUCGGAUUAGCUAGUUGGGGGGGUAAAGGCCUACCAAGGCGACGAUCUGUAGCGGGUCUGAGAGGAUGAUCGGCCACACUGGGAUUGAGACACGGCCCAGACUGCUGCCGUAGGCAGCAGUGGGGAAUAUUGGACAAUGGGGGGAACCCUGAUCCAGCCAUGCCGCGUGUGUGAAGAAGGCCUUAUGGUUGUAAAGCACUUUAAGCGAGGAGGAGGCUACUGAGACUAAUACUCUUGGAUAGUGGACGUUACUCGCAGAAUAAGCACCGGCUAACUCUGUGCCAGCCGCCGCGGUAACAC